AGUCGAACGAGAAUCUACUGAAAGAGUUUUCGGACGAUGGAAGUAGAGGAAAGUGGCGGACGGGUGAGUAACGCGUGAGGAACCUGCCUUGAAGAGGGGGACAACAGUUGGAAACGACUGCUAAUACCGCAUGAAGCAUAGGGGUCGCAUGAUUCUUAUGCCAAAGAUUUAUCGCUUCAAGAUGGCCUCGCGUCUGAUUAGCUAGUUGGCGGGGUAACGGCCCACCAAGGCGACGAUCAGUAGCCGGACUGAGAGGUUGAACGGCCACAUUGGGACUGAGAUACGGCCCAGACUCCUACGGGAGGCAGCAGUGGGGAAUAUUGGGCAAUGGGCGCAAGCCUGACCCAGCAACGCCGCGUGAAGGAAGAAGGCUUUCGGGUUGUAAACUUCUUUUAAGAGGGAAGAGCAGAAGACGGUACCUCUAGAAUAAGCCACGGCUAACUACGUGCCAGCAGCCGCGGUAAUACGUAGGUGGCAAGCGUUGUCCGGAUUUACUGGGUGUAAAGGGCGUGCAGCCGGGUCUGCAAGUCAGAUGUGAAAUCCAUGGGCUCAACCCAUGAACUGCAUUUGAAACUGUAGAUCUUGAGUGUCGGAGGGGCAAUCGGAAUUCCUAGUGUAGCGGUGAAAUGCGUAGAUAUUAGGAGGAACACCAGUGGCGAAGGCGGAUUGCUGGACGAUAACUGACGGUGAGGCGCGAAAGUGUGGGGAGCAAACAGGAUUAGAUACCCUGGUAGUCCACACUGUAAACGAUGAAUACUAGGUGUGCGGGGACUGACCCCCUGCGUGCCGCAGUAAACACAAUAAGUAUUCCACCUGGGG
rnacentral:rRNA from 1 species